rnacentral:rRNA from 1 species
GAUGAACGCUGGCGGCGUGCCUAAUACAUGCAAGUCGAGCGAACAGACGAGGAGCUUGCUCCUCUGACGUUAGCGGCGGACGGGUGAGUAACACGUGGAUAACCUACCUAUAAGACUGGGAUAACUUCGGGAAACCGGAGCUAAUACCGGAUAAUAUAUUGAACCGCAUGGUUCAAAAGUGAAAGACGGUCUUGCUGUCACUUAUAGAUGGAUCCGCGCUGCAUUAGCUAGUUGGUAAGGUAACGGCUUACCAAGGCAACGAUGCAUAGCCGACCUGAGAGGGUGAUCGGCCACACUGGAACUGAGACACGGUCCAGACUCCUACGGGAGGCAGCAGUAGGGAAUCUUCCGCAAUGGGCGAAAGCCUGACGGAGCAACGCCGCGUGAGUGAUGAAGGUCUUCGGAUCGUAAAACUCUGUUAUUAGGGAAGAACAUAUGUGUAAGUAACUGUGCACAUCUUGACGGUACCUAAUCAGAAAGCCACGGCUAACUACGUG